CCCAUCUUGAGGAGUUUGCCCCCUCACAUAUACUAAUGUGCCACAAAUGGGACUUUAAUAUCACCAACCAUUCCCAUUUUAUUAUGGUGUAUCCAUAUAAAUGGCCCACCCUGUAGUUAUAAUCACACAUUUUAAUAUAGGGCUUUGGAGCGUGAUGUCACGGGGGUGGGCGUGGAAAGGAUUUUGGCCCGAUCCGCCAUUUUGGGGGUCUAGCGCAAGUGAAAAGGGAGCGAAGUCACACACAACAGCCAUGCAAUAUGAGGCAGCUCGUGUAUCGAUGUUACCAAACGAAGGCGUCUAGCCUGGAUAGCAGCUGUGAGACGAGCUGACGUGCAGUUCUCUUCCAUCUCCAAAUAUCUGUUGGUGCUCCAGACAUUUUCAUUCCGCAAACCAGCCAAUGAAAUGGAUGAAACAUCGUGACUGGGUUCCAGCACUACACAAGGGACCUGCUUCAAACAUACCACCAUGCCAAUCAGAUUACUUCUUCCAUGUGAGGGUGAAGAGGUGACCCUCCUGGAUAAGAUGGUGAAGGUUUGCUGCGUUUGGUGAACAGUGUGAUAAUAAAACCAGGGAAAAUGAAACCUGCUCCUGUUAAAUAUUCUUAAGUAUUGUGCUGUUAAAAUUGCUGUAUUUUUUCAAAAGAUA
ensembl:lncRNA